UACGUAGGUGACCAGCGUUGUCCGGAUUUACUGGGCGUAAAGAGCGCGCAGGCGGUCGUUCAAGUCGAGUGUGAAAGCCCCCGGCUCAACUGGGGAGGGUCACUCGAUACUGAUCGACUUGAAGGCAGGAGAGGGAAGCGGAAUUCCCGGUGUAGUGGUGAAAUGCGUAGAUAUCUAGAGGAACGCCCGUGGCGAAAGCGGGGCACUGGGCCACACCUGACGCUAAGACGCGAAAGCGUGGGGAGCAAACGGG
rnacentral:rRNA from 1 species